rnacentral:lncRNA from 1 species
UAAACAAAGUUGAUUUUAAAGCUGCCGAGGAAACUACAGCAACUCUAGAGGCUUUGAAAAUUGCCUUUGCUCAAAUUAGAAUCGGUUCCAAACUAGAAGCAUUAUUGCUGAAGAAAAAAUUUGGGCAAUGGAGACUCUCCUGAAGUUCAUGCUCAAAAGAAAACAUAAAAAUAAGGCAAUGAAAAAGGGACUUGGGUUUAGACCCAUUUUCAUUUCUGGCAAUAAAAGGUUUGGGCACUGGGCUCAUUUCGGUUUUGGCACCCCUACAAUUUCACAUACGCUACUCUAUCUUCAUUUGGGCUCGAACGAAUACGGACUGCACAUAUUCCUGGUUUCACAUUUCUGCACCCUUAUUCUUAUCGUGCUUUUGUUAUUUUUAUUUCAUGCUCUUAUUUCUUUAGUAUUCGUUUGAUUAUUGCGUUGUUUCAUUUAUUUUGUGCACCCCUUGUAUCAUAAUAUCCAUCCCCUUAACUUUU